GGAUUCCCUUAGUAGCUGCGAGCGAACAGGGAUAAUUGGCUCAGCAUUAAAUCUUGUAACUUGACAGUUAUCAAGAGAUGUAAUGUUUAGGAAGAUUCGUUUAUCCUUGGGUGUACACUUAGCCUAAGUCCACCUUGAAUGGGGCAUAUCCCGUAGAGGGNGCCAGUCCCGUAGUGGCAAGUGUAUAUAAAUCACCUUUGGUGAAUCUUUCCUUANAGUCGGGUUGCUUGUAAAUGCAGCUCUAAGNGGGUGGUAAACUCCAUCUAAAGCUAAAUAUAACCACGAGACCGAUAGCGAACAAGUACCAUGAGGGAAAGUUGAAAAGAACUUUGAANAGAGAGUUCAAAAGUACGUGAAACCGUUUAGGAGUAAACGGGCGAAAUUCGAAUAUCUGAAGAAAGUGAUUCACGUAAAAUCCAUAUUCAACUACAAUUGUCGAUCGAUGGUAUUUAAAAACUCCUUGUUUUAUAACUUGUUAUAUUGCAGGGAUCAAGUUUUUAUAUCACGUUUCGUCAUUGUAUUCAGUUUGAAUUGUGGUUUACCGCAUUUCUACCUUUCUUAUAUAUUACCAAGCGUCGCGAUCCAUUGUAUUGCAGUCUUAAGAUGUUUUUGGCUAGCCCCGUAGUAGUGAAAUUGAUUUAUUUCAAUUUUAUUUUAUUAUGUGGACCUUAAACUUUAUAUCUGACUGAUAGUAUGAUGGUAUCAAAAAAUUGAAANAGAUGGCCCGCAUUAUAUAUGCGUUUGGGUAAAUUUGUUAAAUUUAAUGUUUUUUAUCUUGUAGUCACGGUCCUCUAGGCCCGUCUAUAAGUAAACAUUAUUAACAAUUUUAUUCUCAAAUUUGUUGGCUAUUAUUCUCUUAUCUGCGGCGUAUAUGUUUCGAAUUUUCACCCGACCCGUCUUGAAACACGGAC
rnacentral:rRNA from 1 species